CAGACAGUGGCGGAAAUGUUACCGAAUUACAAGUCGGAAAGGAUGCAGCAUUUGCAAAAUAAAUUAAAAAGUAUGCUUUACACAGCGUAUAAGGGUGAUGUCACAGCACAACGGGAAUCUAACAGGGGAAGAGGUGAAAGUCAUCCUCCUCCUCCCACAACCACGCCAUAUCUGCCAAGUGACCCUAUGUAGGGGUAACAGUCCCUAUUCUGCUCUGUGUCAGUGUGUAUCAGGGGCUCUGAGGACAGGUGUCAAUCCAUAU